rnacentral:tRNA from 1 species
GCGAAGUUCGUCCAGCGGCAGGACGUCAGCGCGCCAUGCUGAAGACGGGAGUUCAAGUCUCCCACUUCGCU